rnacentral:rRNA from 1 species
UGAGUAACCUGCCCUUAACUCUGGGAUAAGCCUGGGAAACUGGGUCUAAUACCGGAUAUGACUCCUCAUCGCAUGGUGGGGGGUGGAAAGCUUUAUUGUGGUUUUGGAUGGACUCGCGGCCCUAUCAGCUUGUUGGUGAGGUAAUGGCUUACCAAGGCGACGACGGGUAGCCGGCCUGAGAGGGUGACCGGCCACACUGGGACUGAGACACGGCCCAGACUCCUACGGGAGGCAG